GACGAACGCUGGCGGCGUGCUUAACACAUGCAAGUCGAACGGUAAGGCCCUUUCGGGGGUACCAGAGUGGCGUACGGGUGAGUAACACGCGGGUGAUCUGCCCUGCACUUUCGGAUAAGCCUGGGAAACUGGGUCUAAUACCGGGUAGGACUGCGCGAUGCCUGUUGUGUGGGGGAAAGCUUUUGUGGUGUGGUGUGGGCCUGCGGCCUGUCAGCUUGUUGGUGGGGUGGUGGCCUACCAAGGCGACGAGGCGUAGCCGGCCUGAGGGGGUGUCCGGCCACACUGGGACUGGGAUACGGCCCAGACUCCUACGGGAGGCAGCAGUGGGGAAUAUUGCACAAUGGGCGCAAGCCUGAUGCAGCGACGCCGCGUGGGGGAUGACGGCCUUCGGGUUGUAAACCCCUUUCAGUACAGACGAAGCGUAAGUGACGGUAUGUGCAGAAGAAGCACCGGCCAACUACGUG
rnacentral:rRNA from 1 species